rnacentral:rRNA from 1 species
UGCAUUUGAUACUGGCAAACUAGAGUAUGGUAGAGGAAUGGGGAAUUUCUGGUGUAGCGGUGAAAUGCGUAGAGAUCAGAAGGAACACCAAUGGCGAAGGCAACAUUCUGGACCAAUACUGACACUGAGGGACGAAAGCGUGGGGAUCAAACAGGAUUAGAUACCCUGGUAGUCCACGCUGUAAACGAUGAGUACUAGCUGUUGGAUUCGGUGUAAAGGAUCUAGUGGCGUAGCUAACGCGUUAAGUACUCCGCCUGGGGACUACGGCCGCAAGGCUAAAACUCAAAGGAAUUGACGGGGACCCGCACAAGCGGUGGAGCAUGUGGUUUAAUUCGAUGCAACGCGAAGAACCUUACCUGGUCUUGACAUCCUGCGAACUUUCUAGAGAUAGAUUGGUGCCUUCGGGAACGCAGUGACAGGUGCUGCACGGCUGUCGUCAGCUCGUGUUGUGAAAUGUUGGGUUAAGUCCCGCAACGAGCGCAACCCCUAUUGAUAGUUACCAUCAUUAAGUUGGGUACUCUAUUGAGACUGCCGCUGACAAGGCGGAGGAAGGUGGGGACGACGUCAAGUCAUCAUGGCCCUUACGACCAGGGCUACACACGUGCUACAAUGGGUAUUACAGAGGGCAGCGAAGUAGCGAUAUGGAGCGAAACUCAGAAAGGUACUCUUAGUCCGGAUUGCAGUCUGCAACUCGACUGCAUGAAGUCGGAAUCGCUAGUAAUCGCAGGUCAGAAUACUGCGGUGAAUACGUUCCCGGGUCUUGUACACACCAAAGGGGCACACCAUGGGAGUGGGUUGCUCCAGCAAGUAGAUAGUCUAACCC